AUGUCGAUAGGGAUGGAAGCACCGGCUGGCCACCUCGCCGCUGAAUCCUCCCCUCCUGUGACUGUGAUGAGCCGGCGGCGCUCUGUGGAUGGGCUCCUCCUCCUCCUCCCCAGGCCAUACCGAGUCUGCUCCUGUCCGGNNNNNNNNNNNNNNNNNNNNNNNNNNNNNNNNNNNNNNNNNNNNNNNNNNNNNNNNNNNNNNNNNNNNNNNNNNNNNNNNNNNNNNNNNAACAGCAAAAAGUCGGAAUCUUUUCCGGAGUUGAUCCAUGUUCUGAUUCCACAAGCCCCAGGCAAUCAACCUCUGUUGAUUUCCUUUGCCUACUCGGAUCUGCCUCACCUAUUCGAAUCAGGGGUGAAGCAGCCUCGGUUGGUCACCUAUAAAUAUAGCCACAAGUCUCUUCCUGCUCCACCCAAGUUGCUAUUUUGCAAGCAUUGCAGCAGAAGCAGUUCGUCUUCCAUGACAUACUAUAAUCCCAUGGAAGACCCUAGUAGUGUAGACACGAUAUUCAACUUCUGGGGGCUCCCUAUACACACCACAAAUUUGGAUUUGCGCUCCCUGGUCUUCCGAGUUUUACCUCAGCUGCUGGGUCUCUCUCCUCCCAGCUCACUGAAUAUUCUCAAGACACCACCACUACUGAUAGAGGCUACACUCCCGGAGCUACCAGAGGACAUCUUGAUGCGCAUCUUUGCCACCCUUGAGAUCCCUGACCUCAUACGUGCCGGCGCUGUCUGCACCUUUUGGCGCUCUGCCUACACCUCCCUGCGCACACUCGGCAAGCACAAGCAGCCCCAGACGCCGUGCCUGUUCUACACCUCUGAAUCUUCCAGCGACAAUGUUGCGUGUCUCUACAGCCUCGUGGAGAAGAGGGUUUACAGCCUAACUCUCCCGGAGCCGCCUCUCCACACUAGGUUUCUGAUUGGGUCCUCUCUCGGCUUGCUGGUCACCGUCGAUGAGAGAUCUGAAAUGCACCUCGUCAAUCCGAUCACUGGUCAACAGAUUGCUCUUCCUUCAGUGACCACGAUGCAGCAUGUGAAGCCCAUUUGUGAUGACUCGGGUGCUGUCCACAAGUAUGCAUACUCAAAGCACACGGCAAAGCAAGUUAUCUGCCCUCCAAAGAUAAUUGCUCCAGCUGCCCUGCGGGAAUUCUUCCAUCAGAAGGCUCUUUUGUUUUAUGAUACACCCACAGGGAGCUACAUAGUGGUGCUCAUCCACUUGCCGUUUGGUCAGCUAUCCUUUGCAAGGGUAGGGGACGAUAAGUGGACCUGGCUGCCACCUCACACUGAUUAUUUUGACUGCACCUACAAGGAUGGGCUACUGUAUGCAGCGACUCUAUUGGGAGAAGUUCACACCUUUGAUCUUAGUGGGCCUGCUGUUACAAUGAACACUAUUAUGGGUGUGGAUGAUGACGAUUUAGAAAUUCAGGGAGCAUACAUUCUUGAAGCUCCAUGGGGUGGUUUGCUGCUUGUUUGGAGGUUGAAAGUGUAUAGUGGUUAUCAGGAUGAUAUUUCAUCACUUAAGCUGCACACCAAGGGAAUUAAAAUACAUGAAGUUGAUGUUGCUGCCAAGAAGCUUGUGGAAAUUGAUUGCUUGCACGGCCAUGUGCUGUUCCUUGGUCAUAACCAGUCACUCUGUCUCAGCACUAAAGAAUGCCCUGCUCUCAAGGAAAAUCGUCUCUACUUUACUGACGAUGAUGCGUACAUAACUGUGCAUAAGGAUAAUCGUCGCGAUAUAGGACUACUUCGCUUGGAUAAUAAUAGCUGGGAAAGCCUUGUGUUUCCUCAGCUUUGGUCCAACUGGCCUGCUCCUGUGUGGAUUACACCCAAUCUUACAAUGAUGAAACUGUCGUUGAAUAAAUAG
rnacentral:rRNA from 1 species